CACCGAACUUUCUUUUCAGUGGAUACAGCCGAUAGUUGGAGAGAGACUAUCAACAAGGUAGUUCCCGCCGUAGUGGUGCUGCGUGUUACUGCCUGUCGUUCCUUCGACACCGAACUUCCUUCCUCUGGCUCCGCCACUGGCUUCGUCGUCGAUAAGCAACGUGGCAUCAUCCUCACCAAUCGCCAUGUCGUUAAGCCUGGCCUAAUAGUUGCACAGGCCAUAUUUGUAAACCAUGAAGAAAUUCCUGUGUAUCCUAUAUAUCGAGAUCCAGUGAGUUACUCUUUUUGUUUCAUUUGCCUUUUACAAAUCAUUGAACAAAAGUUCGUAGAAUAUUUACUGUGUCAGGUGAAAAAGGAUAAAAUUUUAGUAUGAAGA